UACACUCCUACGGGAGGCAGCAGUGGGGAAUAUUGCACAAUGGGCGCAAGCCUGAUGCAGCCAUGCCGCGUGUAUGAAGAAGGCCUUCGGGUUGUAAAGUACUUUCAGCGGGGAGGAAGGCAAUACGGUUAAUAACCGUGUUGGUUGACGUUACCCGCAGAAGAAGCACCGGCUAACUCCGUGCCAGCAGCCGCGGUAAUACGGAGGGUGCAAGCGUUAAUCGGAAUUACUGGGCGUAAAGCGCACGCAGGCGGUCUGUCAAGUCGGAUGUGAAAUCCCCGGGCUCAACCUGGGAACUGCAUUCGAAACUGGCAGGCUUGAGUCUUGUAGAGGGGGGUAGAAUUCCAGGUGUAGCGGUGAAAUGCGUAGAGAUCUGGAGGAAUACCGGUGGCGAAGGCGGCCCCCUGGACAAAGACUGACGCUCAGGUGCGAAAGCGUGGGGAGCAAACAGGAUUAGAAACCCGAGUAGUCCCAUGA
rnacentral:rRNA from 1 species